rnacentral:other from 18 species
GUAGCGCCCGUCUGUAAAGGCGGGCGAGGAUUGAAAC